UCUCUUUGUUCAAUGACACGGGUGAAGCAGAUCAACAUACAAAUGCAAAAUUCUAUAUGUAUUGCUUAACCUGCAGUCAAGAUGUGAUAGAUGUAUCUUGUUAAAUUCUGCAGGUUAAGGGUGAGUUCACAAUGGAAUACAAAGAACAUUUACCAGUUUCUCAAGAAGUACAGAUGCAACUUGUGAACAAUCACAAAGCCUCCAAGGCAGCCGAAUAGCCAGGUUCAUGGUUUUGAAGUCCCCAAUGCAACCACAGAGCCGUUUGCAGGGCUAUCUGCAAAUAGUUAGGGUUUUGUUAUGAUCAUUCUCCUAUGCACUUACAUAGCUUCUGUGAAAAUCUGCUAUAGAGGUUUUACAGUUGUUGCAAUAAACACGGUCAUCUUCAUCACAGCAAACGCAGGUUGUUUGUGAUGAAGAUGAAUGUGUUUAUUGCAACAACUGUAGAAUCUCUAUAGCAGAUUUUCACAGAAGCUGCCUUAAGAUCCUAUAUGAAGAGUAUCCUGGUAAUGUGAGGCUGAAUUGGUCUGUAAUUUUGAGAAUUGAGAAGCCCAAAUAAUGUAAUUUAAACAUUAUUCUAUUGAAUAUUGUGUGAGAACUACUGUAUUAUUUAUCCUCUAAGCGCAUGUCAAUCAAUUUAUAAUUGUUGGCCGUACACGUGGUUGUAAAAGAGUACAAUUCUAU